rnacentral:rRNA from 1 species
UACAUGGGGUGCAACCGUUGCUCGGAAUUAUUGGGCGUAAAGCGCACGUAGGCGGUUCGUUAAGUCGGAUGCGAAAGCCCUCGGCUCAACUGAGGAAGUGCACCCGAAACUGGCGAGCUUGAGUACGAAAGAGGAUCGCGGAAUUCCCGGUGUAGAGGUGAAAUUCGUAGAUAUCGGGAGGAACACCGGUGGCGAAGGCGGCGAUCUGGGUCGAUACUGACGCUGAGGUGCGAAAGCGUGGGGAGCAAACAGG